rnacentral:rRNA from 1 species
GGGGGGGGGGGGGGGGGGGGGGGGGGGGGGGGGGGCGGGGGGGGGCACAGUAAGGGCUUGCUCUUACGGGUGGCGAGUGGCGGACGGGUGGGGAAUACAGCGGAAUCUACUUUUUCGUGGGGGAUAACGUAGGGAAACUUACGCUAAUACCGCAUACGACCUACGGGUGAAAGCAGGGGAUCUUCGGACCUUGCGCGAUUGAAUGAGCCGAUGUCGGAUUAGCUAGUUGGCGGGGUAAAGGCCCACCAAGGCGACGAUCCGUAGCUGGUCUGAGAGGAUGAUCAGCCACACUGGAACUGAGACACGGUCCAGACUCCUACGGGAGGCAGCAGUGGGGAAUAUUGGACAAUGGGCGCAGGCCUGAUCCAGCCAUACCGCGUGGGUGAAGAAGGCCUUCGGGUUGUAAAGCCCUUUUGUUGGGAAAGAAAAGCAGCAGGUUAAUACCCCGCUGUUCCGACGGUACCCAAAGAAUAAGCACCGGCUAACUUCGUG